rnacentral:rRNA from 1 species
CCUACGGGAGGCAGCAGUGAGGAAUAUUGGUCAAUGGACGCAAGUCUGAACCAGCCAAGUAGCGUGCAGGAUGACGGCCCUCCGGGUUGUAAACUGCUUUUAGUUGGGAAUAAAGGGGGGCUCGUGAGCCCCGUAUUGUAUGUACCAUCAGAAAAAGGACCGGCUAAUUCCGUGCCAGCAGCCGCGGUAAUACGUAGGGGGCGAGCGUUAUCCGGAUUCACUGGGUGUAAAGGGAGCGUAGACGGCCAUGCAAGCCAGGGGUGAAAGCCCGGGGCCCAACCCCGGGACUGCCCUUGGAACGGCAUGGCUGGAGUGCGGGAGGGGCAGGCGGAAUGCCUGGUGUAGCGGUGAAAUGCGUAGAUAUCAGGAGGAACACCGGCGGCGAAGGCGGCCUGCUGGACCGCGACUGACGUUGAGGCUCGAAAGCGUGGGGAGCGAACAGGAUUAGAUACCCGAGUAGUC